UCUUCUGCAUAAGCAAAGAAAGUAGUUUCUUGAGAUGGAAUCUAAUCCUGGUGAAGAUGCUGUGAA
rnacentral:pre_miRNA from 1 species